GAUGAACGCUGACAGAAUGCUUAACACAUGCAAGUCAACUUGAAUUUGGGUUUUUAACUUAGGUUUGGGUGGCGGACGGGUGAGUAACGCGUAAAGAACUUGCCUCACAGCUAGGGACAACAUUUGGAAACGAAUGCUAAUACCUAAUAUUAUGAUAAUAGGGCAUCCUAUAAUUAUGAAAGCUAUAAGCGCUGUGAGAGAGCUUUGCGUCCCAUUAGCUAGUUGGAGAGGUAACGGCUCACCAAGGCGAUGAUGGGUAGCCGGCCUGAGAGGGUGAUCGGCCACAAGGGGACUGAGACACGGCCCUUACUCCUACGGGAGGCAGCAGUGGGGAGUAUUGGACAAUGGACCGAGAGUCUGAUCCAGCAAUUCUGUGUGCACGAUGAAGUUUUUCGGAAUGUAAAGUGCUUUCAGUUGGGAAGAAACAAAUGACGGUACCAACAGAAGAAGUGACGGCUAAAUACGUG
rnacentral:rRNA from 1 species